AACAUCGCGCACCUGCGGGAACCUGCGGAGGGAUCAUUACAGAGUUGCAAAACUCCCUAAACCAUUGUGAACGUUACCUAAACCGUUGCUUCGGCGGGCGGCCCGGGUCCUUCCCGGCGCCCCUCGGCCCUCGCGGGCGCCCGCCGGAGGUAAACCAAACUAUUGCAUUGUAUGGCCUCUCUGAGUCUUCUGUACUGAAUAAGUCAAAACUUUUAACAAUGGAUCUCAGAUCGGAAGAGC
rnacentral:misc_RNA from 1 species